GGGGGAUCACAGACCUCUCCGCGGCGCUUUUAAAGGCUUUCUCCGGACUUUCCUGCCAUUCAGGCAGGGGUUAAACUGGAGUAAAAUAAUUGCUGUAAUGAGCAAAGGCAAUCUGCCGCAGACAGAGGCCGGCUCCAGCGUGGCUGUAGCUCCAGGCAAGGCGGAACUUUUAUCAUUCCUAAAAUGUCAACGGGGGACUGGGACGGGCAACACUUUCAGCUCGCAGCGCUGCGAUUUCCUCCCCGGAACGAGCAAACAAGGCAAAGCCUCUUCACUUAUUCAGAUCAUCUCCGCUCCGUCUCAUCCAGCGUGCAGGCAUGAAUUAAUACAUAAUCCCCGACAAUAAGUUCAAAUCACACGGAUGGACGCUCCUUCUGAAAAGAGCCGAAACUUGACACAAAGGAGCCAAAGGGGGGACCAGUCCUCUCUUCUGAAGCCUUUCAUUCCUUUGUCCCUCCGCCCGCUCUCUAUCCUGCCAGGGGCCAAACACAAAACAACAGUCGCUUGUUUAUAUCGUCGAAAAGAUCACAGGAGGUUCUCCUGGCUCCGUGGCAAAGAACCUCUUGAUCCCCCAAAGGAGGCAAACAGGUUAUUAUCUUGGAUAAAUGAUUAAGAAAAGAAGAGGCCUUUAACCUUUGAGUGGAGGGGAUGUUGUGGACAAUUUCAACUUUAACCCAAAUGUAACAGGAGUAUAUAUUUUCUAAAGCUCACUUUCUCUGAUACCCAGACUGGGGAAUAAAAGCGUCUGAUUUAAUCCCUUAA